rnacentral:rRNA from 1 species
AGUGAACGCUGGCGGUAGGCCUAACACAUGCAAGUCGAACGGCAGCACAGUGAGAGCUUGCGCUUACGGGCGACGAGUGGCGGACGGGUGCGGAAUACAUCGGAAUCUACUUUUUCGUUGGGGAUAACGUAGGGAAACUUACGCUAAUACCUCAUACGACCUACGGGUGAACGCAGGGGAUCUUCGGACCUUGCGCGAUUGAAUGAGCCGAUGUCGGAUUAGCUAGUUGGCGGGGUAAAGGCCCACCAAGGCAACGAUCCGUAGCUGGUCUGAGAGGAUGAUCAGCCACACUGGAACUGAGACACGGUCCAGACUCCUACGGGAGGCAGCAGUGGGGAAUUUUGGACAAUGGGCGCAAGCCUGAUCCAGCCAUGCCGCGUGGGGGAAGAAGGCCUUCGGGUUGUAAAGCGCUUUUGUUGGGAAAGAAAAGCAUCAGGUUAAUACCCCGCUGUUCUGACGGUACCCAAAGAAUAAGCACCGGCUAACUUCGUG